UACUAUGAAAAUGAACUAUGUUUGCCUGUGAUCAGGGAUGUAUUCAUUCCGCCGAUUCUGUUGAAAAAAAAAAUUAAAUGGAAGCAAACGGAACGAAACGGGGAUAAACAUACCUGAAUUUGUCAUCAUUACAUAUCACAGGAUGAAAUCACAAACAGUUAGAAUGGAAUACCAUCUCUAUUAUAAAGCUUAGUAAAAAAUGUCUUCACCAAAAUUAGUAUUGAGGGAUUCAGAUGGUUUCAUUCUGACAUACUUUGAUGACGCAGAAAAGGUACAAAUACUCUACUGUAAUAGGUCAUUCUUAAAUGUCUCAUUGUAAGUCGUUCCCAGGUCGAUGUUAUGUUCCAUAAAUGAGCAUCUCAAAAUAACCUCAUACCAGUUGAACUGUAGGAAUGUAUCAUAUUCUCUUGUGAUUGGUUCUCCCAGUGAGGAGGGUCUCAUGCAAAACUCUCCCGUCCUCCAUCUUUAUUAAUGUCUCUGUUGAAGGCUUUUUCUGCUGAGGACUGUCUAAACUCCCUUUAGAGAACUACACAGAUCACCAUGUUUCCUACCACAGGAAUGCUCUUACUGACAGUCUAUCUAACAGGUGUUUAUGGUCAGACAUUGACUGAGUCUGGACCAGUAGUUAAAAAGCCUGGAGGAUCACACAAACUGACCUGUACAACCUCUGGGUUCACAUUCAGUAGCUAUGGGAUGAACUGGGUCAGACAGGCUCCUGGGAAAGGACUGGAGUGGGUGUCCUAUAUUAGCAGUGGUAGUAGUUACAUCUACUAUUCCCAGUCUUUUCAGGGUCGGUUCACCAUCUCCAGAGACAAUAGCAAAGAGCAGGUGUAUCUCCAGUUGAACAAUCUGAAGACUGACGACUCUGCUGUUUAUUAUUGUGCAGUGCUGUACAAAAACUGAUUAACUGUCACGCCUUGGUCUUAGUAUUUAGUGUUUUCUUUAUUUAUUUGGUCAGGCCAGGGUGUGACAUGGGUUAUUGUGGUGUGUUUUUGUCUUAGGAGUUUUGUGGGGUGUCUACGUAGUCUAUGGCUGCCUGAGGCGGUUCUCAAUCAGAGUCAGGUGAUUAUCGUUGUCUCUGAUUGGGAACCAUAUUUAGGCAGCCAUAUUCGUGGGUGAUUGUUCCUGUCUUUGUGUUUGCACCGGAUAGGGCUGUUUCGGUUUUCAUUAUUUCAUUUCAUUAUUUUUGUAGUUUCUGCAUGAAUAGGUUUUCCUUCAUUAAAAUAUAUCAUGAAUCAUCA